ACCAGACUCCUACGGGAGGCAGCAGUGGGGAAUAUUGCACAAUGGGCGAAAGCCUGAUGCAGCAACGCCGCGUGAAGGAAGAAGGCCUUCGGGUCGUAAACUUCUGUCCUUGGGGAAGAAGAACUGACGGUACCCAAGGAGGAAGCCCCGGCUAACUACGUGCCAGCAGCCGCGGUAAUACGUAGGGGGCAAGCGUUAUCCGGAUUUACUGGGUGUAAAGGGUGCGCAGGUGGCAGGGCAAGUCAGAUGUGAAAGCCCGGGGCUCAACCCCGGUAUUGCAUUUGAAACUGUCCGGCUAGAGUGCAGGAGAGGUAAGCGGAAUUCCUAGUGUAGCGGUGAAAUGCGUAGAUAUUAGGAGGAACACCAGUGGCGAAGGCGGCUUACUGGACUGUAACUGACACUGAGGCACGAAAGCGUGGGGAUCAAACAGGAUUAGAUACCCCAGUAA
rnacentral:rRNA from 1 species